rnacentral:rRNA from 1 species
GAUGAACGCUGGCGGCGUGCCUAAUACAUGCAAGUCGAGCGAAUGGAUUGAGAGCUUGCUCUCGAGAAGUUAGCGGCGGACGGGUGAGUAACACGUGGGUAACCUGCCCAUAAGACUGGGAUAACUCCGGGAAACCGGGGCUAAUACCGGAUAACAUUUUGAACCGCAUGGUUCGAAAUUGAAAGGCGGCUUCGGCUGUCACUUAUGGAUGGACCCGCGUCGCAUUAGCUAGUUGGUGAGGUAACGGCUCACCAAGGCAACGAUGCGUAGCCGACCUGAGAGGGUGAUCGGCCACACUGGGACUGAGACACGGCCCAGACUCCUACGGGAGGCAGCAGUAGGGAAUCUUCCGCAAUGGACGAAAGUCUGACGGAGCAACGCCGCGUGAGUGAUGAAGGCUUUCGGGUCGUAAAACUCUGUUGUUAGGGAAGAACAAGUGCUAGUUGAAUAAGCUGGCACCUUGACGGUACCUAACCAGAAAGCCACGGCUAACUACGUGCCAGCCGCCGCCGUAACAC